rnacentral:rRNA from 1 species
GAUUUACUUGGCUCAAUUAAAGACAACAGAUACAAGGAUCAAAAACUAAGACUGAAGAAAUGUGGGCUAAGGAAGCUAAUAUAUCUAGUUGAAGGAGAUGUAAACACUGUAGAUGGAUCAGAGAGCGUUAAAACAGCCUGCUUCACUACUGAGGUUCUUGAAGGAUUUGAUGUCCAAAGAACCACUGGGUAUGCUGAUACCGAAAAGAAAUAUGGCCACUUCACACGCUCGAUAAUUGGCUACUACAGCAGAAACUUCUCUGCUGGUGCUGACAGCUCUCGAGUUUGCCUGACUUAUGAUGAGUUUGUGAAAAGGUGUUCUAACCUUGAGAAGGUCACUAUGAGCGACAUAUUCGCCCUUCAGCUUAUGCAGGUGCCACAAGUGACAGAAGAAGCUGCUCUUGCUGUCACGAGUCUCUACCCCACUCUUCCCUCACUUGCUAAGGCGUACACCAUGCUUGAUGGCGAUAGGCAUGCCCAGGAGGAGAUGCUGAAGAACAAGAGCGACAUGGUCAACGCGGGGGCUAGCAAGAACAUCUUCAAGCUCAUCGGGGUGGAAGGAUGA